AUUGAACGCUGGCGGCAUGCCUCACACAUGCAAGUCGAACGGCAGCACGGGAGCAAUCCUGGUGGCGAGUGGCGAACGGGUGAGUAAUAUAUCGGAACGUGCCCAGUCGUGGGGGAUAACGUAGCGAAAGCUACGCUAAUACCGCAUACGAUCUAUGGAUGAAAGCGGGGGAUCGCAAGACCUCGCGCGAUUGGAGCGGCCGAUAUCAGAUUAGGUAGUUGGUGAGGUAAAGGCUCACCAAGCCGACGAUCUGUAGCUGGUCUGAGAGGACGACCAGCUACACUGGGACUGAGACACGGCCCAGACUCCUACGGGAGGCAGCAGUGGGGAAUUUUGGACAAUGGGCGCAAGCCUGAUCCAGCAAUGCCGCGUGCAGGAUGAAGGCCUUCGGGUUGUAAACUGCUUUUGUACGGAGCGAAAAGGCUUCCACUAAUACUGGGGGCUCAUGACGGUACCGUAAGAAUAAGCACCGGCUAACUACGUGCCAGCCGCCGCAGUAAGAC
rnacentral:rRNA from 1 species